GAUGAACGCUGGCGGCGUGCCUAAUACAUGCAAGUCGAGCGAACAGACGAGGAGCUUGCUCCUCUGACGUUAGCGGCGGACGGGUGAGUAACACGUGGAUAACCUACCUAUAAGACUGGGAUAACUUCGGGAAACCGGAGCUAAUACCGGAUAAUAUAUUGAACCGCAUGGUUCAAUAGUGAAAGACGGUUUUGCUGUCACUUAUAGAUGGAUCCGCGCCGCAUUAGCUAGUUGGUAAGGUAACGGCUUACCAAGGCAACGCUGCGUAGCCGACCUGAGAGGGUGAUCGGCCACACUGGAACUGAGACACGGUCCAGACGCCUACGGGAGGCAGCAGUAGGGAAUCUUCCGCAAUGGGCGAAAGCUUGACGGAGCAACGCCGCGUGAGUGAUGAAGGUCUUCGGAUCGUAAAACUCUGUUAUUAGGGAAGAACAAAUGUGUAAGUAACUAUGCACGUCUUGACGGUACCUAAUCAGAAAGCCACGGCUAACUACGUG
rnacentral:rRNA from 1 species